rnacentral:rRNA from 1 species
AGAGUUUGAUUCUGGCUCAGAACGAACGCUGGCAGCGUGGAUUAGGCAUGCGAGUCGAACGGGAAGCCCGGACUUCAACUUUUCGGAGGAGAAGAUCGGGUGGAGAGUGGCGAAAGGGUGAGUAUCGCGUGGGUAACCUGUCUUCAAGUUGGGGACAACCGGGGGAAACCCCGGCUAAUACCGGAUAUGAUUAUCUGUCGCAUGGCAGAUGGAUCAAAGGUGGGGAUCUUCGGACCUACCGCUUGAUGAGGGGCCCGCGUACCAUCAGCUUGUUGGUGAGGUAACGGCUCACCAAGGCUUACGGUUAGCCGGCCUGAGAGGGUGACCGGCCACACUGGGACUGAGACACUGCCCAGACUCCUACGGGAGGCUGCAGUCGAGGAUCAUUGACAAUGCGCGAAAGCGUGAUCAUGCGACGCUGCGUGGAGGAUGACGGCCUUCGGGUUGUAAACUCCUGUCAUUCGGGAAAAAUACGCCUGCAGUUAAUAUCUGCGGGAAUUGAUGGUACCGAAAGAGGAAGCCACGGCUAACUCUGUGCCAGCAGCCGCGGUAAUACAGAGGUGGCGAGCGUUGUUCGGAUUUACUGGGCGUAAAGCGUGCGUAGGUGGUUUCGUAUGUCGGACGUGAAAGCCCACGGCUCAACCGUGGAAUUGCGCCCGAAACUGCGGAACUCGAGUGCAGGAUGGGAGAGCGGAAUUCUUGGUGUAGCGGUGAAAUGCGUUGAUAUCAAGAAGAACACCGGUGGCGAAGGCGGCUCUCUGGAAUGUUACUGACACUGAGGCACGAAAGCUGGGGGAGCAAACAGGAUUAGAUACCCUGGUAGUCCCAGCUGUAAACGGUGCGCACUUGGUGUGGGGGGAAUUGACCCCCUCCGUGCCGGAGCUAACGCGUUAAGUGCGCCGCCUGGGGAGUACGGCCGCAAGGCUAAAACUCAAAGAAAUUGACGGGGGCCCGCACAAGCGGAGGAGCAUGUGGCUUAAUUCGAUGCAACGCGAAGAACCUUACCAGGGCUUGACAUCUAGCUGCACGUCUCCCGAAAGGGAGAAAGCUUUCGAAGGUGCUAGACAGGUGCUGCAUGGCUGUCGUCAGUUCGUGCCGUGAGGUGUUGGGUUAAGUCCCGCAACGAACGCAACCCCUGUGUUUAGUUGCCACCUCAGAUUUAUUCUGAGAGCACUCUAGACAGACUGCCCGUACAAGCGGGAGGAAGGUG